ACAGAGGUCUCAAGCGUUGUUCGGAUUCAUUGGGCGUAAAGGGUGCGUAGGUGGCGCGCUAAGUCAGGUGUGAAAUCUUGGGGCUUAACUCCGAAACUGCAUUUGAUACUGGCGUGCUUGAGGACUGGAGAGGAGACUGGAAUUCACGGUGUAGCAGUGAAAUGCGUAGAGAUCGUGAGGAAGACCAGUGGCGAAGGCGGGUCUCUGGACAGUUCCUGACACUGAGGCACGAAAGCUAGGGGAGCAAACAGGA
rnacentral:rRNA from 1 species